rnacentral:rRNA from 1 species
CAGGUCUUGACAUCCCACUGACCGGCAUAGAGAUAUGCUUUUCCCUUCGGGGACAGUGGUGACAGGUGGUGCAUGGUUGUCGUCAGCUCGUGUCGUGAGAUGUUGGGUUAAGUCCCGCAACGAGCGCAACCCUUGAUCUUAGUUGCCAGCAUUUAGUUGGGCACUCUAAGGUGACUGCCGGUGACAAACCGGAGGAAGGUGGGGAUGACGUCAAAUCAUCAUGCCCCUUAUGACCUGGGCUACACACGUGCUACAAUGGACGAUACAAAGGGCUGCAAACCCGCGAGGGGGAGCCAAUCCCAUAAAAUCGUUCUCAGUUCGGAUUGUAGGCUGCAACUCGCCUACAUGAAGCCGGAAUCGCUAGUAAUCGUGGAUCAGCAUGCCGCGGUGAAUACGUUCCC